rnacentral:lncRNA from 8 species
AUGAAGCUCUCCCUGUGUUCUCUGUCAGUUCUGAUGCUAGUGGCUGUUGUGUUCAUGGUACCAAUGAAAGACAGAAGUGAGGAUGUGUUAAGCUUUUUGAAUGGUGCCCUUGACGUUGCUCCCCCAACUCAAAGCACCUCAGGAAAAAUCAAAGGUCCUGAGAAUACCUUUGGUAAACCAGAUCCAACCCCAGAUAUUGUAGACUCAGAUGCCAGAUCCAAAGAGAAUUGCAACUCCGAUGAUCUUACAGAUGCAGGACGAUCUGAAAGUAACUCAGCAGAAAGCAGAGAGGAUGAUGAUGACUCUCUGGGAUCUAAUACAAAGAUUACACAAACUGUGACAGACGACAGCAGCAGCGACGAGACUGACAGUUCUCCUCCAAGUGAUGUGAGAAAAUACAAACAACCUCCAGGAAGGAAAACCAUAAACCCAGACCAUGUGGACAGCAUGCAGACAACCACCAGGCAGGAUACAACCAAUGGGAGCGAGGAGCUGGAUAGAGAGACUCAGCGGGACCCCACAGGGGGGAGAGAGAGAACCAGCAGAGUGCUCAUUGAUCUCAACAGUGAAGAGGAUGUGAUGGUGGGCUGCCAGGGUACUGUCUGUGUGCCUGGAGAGCAGGGGACUAGAGUCAAUGGAGGUGAAAAUGACGAGAAUACCAGUCUAAACAGUAGAGAUAGAGAUAUCCAAAGCCAAGAGGUCACAGGCACAGCCACGGAGCAGGCCCUACGUAGGGAUAGUUGUAGGGGUGUAGUGAAUGGAGUGUUGGACACAGCCAGAGAACAGCAGGACUUGGAGAGUAUGGAGCAUGUCAAUGGUAGACUCAAUGGUACUGAUGAAGCCAACAGUAGAGAAACCAGAGAUGAGGUCAGCACUGAGACGAACCCAGUAGUGAUUGGUUAGCCUCCAGGAGCCCCAGCCAGGAGCUCCAGCCAGGAGCCUGUCAGUGCCAGAGGCUUCCUCCAGGUAGAGUUGGCUCAGCUCUACCCUGCAGGGCCUGUAAAUCUCCCUGCCUCUCACUCGUGUGUCGUCUCCCUCAAGCUCCACCGACUCUACCAGACCGCAGAGUCCCUCUCACACUUAUAUUCAUGACAGACGUCAGUACAUCUGUGGAUAUUUACCACCAAUUUUUCACUUCAAGUGAUCUUGAAAUAAAUGGUAUUCUGACAGCAGCUGUGCCCCCUGGUCUUACUGCCGGUAGUACAUUUGAGUUGUGGGUGAACGGAAAUAAGAUGUUUGGCUCCAAUCUGAUCAAUCUGAUGAAAUAAAGGUUUCUCAAAAAGCAUUGUUUGUUGUACUAAUUAGAGGUAAUUCAAUAAAAGGCUGUAUAUACAUGCAAAUUCACAAUUGUAAGGAAAGACGAUGCAUUGUUUGAAGGCAGAAUGUCUUACAGUGUUACACAACUGCUUGGACUACAUGACCAUUCUACACAAAACAUUUUCUACAUUUCAACUUCACCCAAUCAUUCAACUGUCAACUUGGCCCAUACAAACAACAUUUGGUAACUUUGUAUAAAAUAUAAUAUGGCAGUGAUUCAACAACGGAAGAAAAAUAUGUUGACAGAAC